rnacentral:rRNA from 1 species
GGUUGACCUCGGAUCAGGUAGGGAUACCCGCUGAACUUAAGCAUAUCAAUAAGCGGAGGAAAAGAAACCAACAGGGAUUGCCUCAGUAACGGCGAGUGAAGCGGCAACAGCUCAAAUUUGAAAUCUGGCUCCUUGGGGGGUCCGAGUUGUAAUUUGUAGAGGAUGCUUCGGGCAAGGCUGCGGUCUAAUUUGCUUGGAACAGCGAGUCACAGAGGGUGAGAGUCCCGUCUAGGACCGUGCGCCGCGUCCAGGUGAAGCUCCUUCGACGAGUCGAGUUGUUUGGGAAUGCAGCUCUAAAUGGGUGGUAAAUUUCAUCUAAAGCUAAAUAUUGGCCAGAGACCGAUAGCGCACAAGUAGAGUGAUCGAAAGAUGAAAAGCACUUUGAAAAGAGAGUUAAACAGUAUGUGAAAUUGUUGAAAGGGAAGCGCUUGCAACCAGACUUGCGUGUGACGGUUCCCCCCACCUUCUGGCGGGGCUACUCCGUCAUCUCCAGGCCAGCAUCGGUUCGGGUGGUCGGUCAAAGACUCCGGGAAUGUAUCUACCUCCGGGUCGACUUAUAGCCCGGGGUGCAAUGCGGCCCACCCGGACCGAGGAACGCGCUUCGGCCCGGAUGCUGGCGUAAUGGUUGUAAGCGGCCCGUCUUGAAACACGGACCAAGGAGUCUAACAUCUAUGCGAGUGUUUGGGUGUUAAACCCCUACGCGGAAUGAAAGUGAACGGAGGUAAGAACCCCGUCCGGGGCGCAUUAUCGACCGAUCCUGAUGUUUUCGGAUGGAUUUGAGUAAGAGCAUAGCUGUUGGGACCCGAAAGAUGGUGAACUAUGCCUGAAUAGGGUGAAGCCAGAGGAAACUCUGGUGGAGGCUCGCAGCGGUUCUGACGUGCAAAUCGAUCGUCAAAUUUGGGCAUAGGGGCGAAAGACCAAUCGAACCAUCUGGUAGCUGGUUCCUGUCG